rfam:Capsicum annuum cultivar Zunla-1 chromosome 11, whole genome shotgun sequence
UGAUGAUGGUGAGAGAAAUUGCUGUGCAUACCCUUAAAUCUCUCCUAAGUUUGGUAGAGAUUCUCUCUGUCUUUCUAUUUAAAACUCAAGAUUGCACUCCUCAGGCA